rnacentral:rRNA from 1 species
CAAUAGCGUAUAUUAAAGUUGUUGCAGUUAAAAAGCUCGUAGUUGGAUUUCUGGUAGGAAUUGUCUGUCCAUCACGCGAGUGAUGCGUACUUGUUCAAUAUCCAGCCAUAUUCGGGGAGAAUGUUACUGGCAUUAGGUUGUCGGUUUCGGGAUCCUCGUCCUUCACUGUGAGUAAACUAGAGUGUUCAAAGCAGGCUUAGGCCGUUGAAUACGUUAGCAUGGAAUGAUAAGAUAGGACCUUGGGUCUAUUUUGUUGGUUUGUGUUCCAAGGUAAUGAUUAAUAGGGAUAGUUGGGGGUAUUCGUAUUCAAUUGUCAGAGGUGAAAUUCUUGGAUUUAUUGAAGACGAACUACUGCGAAAGCAUUUACCAAGGAUGUUUUCAUUAA